GAUUACUUGCUACAAACUCACGGAACCCGCAACUCGCAACUUGCUCGUGAUGUUGAUUUGACUAUACCAGACAGCAUUGAGUUGUCAUGAAUCAUGAUGGUAGUAGAUGGCUGUGCUUAUCAUAUAUUUCGGUCCUAGAGAAAAUUACUCGGGUAGCCAUUAUCGUAAACACCCAGUAUCACUCGAGAGCGGGGUUAGACGACAAUUUCCCGAAAAAUGGUGGGGUUAAUGUUGGUACUAACAAAAUUCCCUAAAUGAUACUAUUUUGAUUUCUAUAGAUUAGCAACACUGUUCAAGUAGUAAGUCUGUAGUUUACAUCAUACAUUUGACAUAUUGUGACAUGUAAUAAAAUAAUAAAUAUUGUAUAAUUAUAAAACAUUGAAAUUGUUUUGGCUUGUCUCACUCGAGAUAUGAAUAUCAUUCAAGAUCAUGACAUAUACAGUUCUUCCCACUAAAAUUAAUGUAAUAAAUUUACCAUCAUUGCAAUAAACAAAUAUAUUAGAUAAGUAUAAGCUAAUGUUUAUUAUAAAAUAAGAAAUACAAUAUCUAUGUGCUGUCUGUAAUUGCAGAUGUUGUUGAACCGAUUCUUUCCUUUUAUUAUUUUUUUUUCAGCUUCCCAGUUAUCCAUGCACUUGCAGAAUAUUAAUUAGAAUUGAGAUUCAAUUCUUAAAGGAACAACUGUAGCAAAAUCAAAAAUAAAAAACAUUUUGUGAAUGAAAGAUGGAAGAACCAUAAGAAGUCAAGAAAUUGCAAGAAAUAUCCUUAGCCUUGUUGCCCAAAGAAUUUAUAGAAGAAAGCUAUAAUAUUAUAACCAAAAUUAUUUUUAAUAAUAAUGAUUAUUUAAAGCCAUUCUUUCAAUAUUAUGAAAAAACAUGGAUUAAUGGUUUUAAACCUGAAUCGUUUUGUGUCUAUAAAGAAUUGCAUAGGACAAAUAAUAUAUCAGAGCGACACAAUAGAGAACUCAAAAAAAAUCUUAACAAGCACUCCACAAUUGCCACAUUUUUAGGUAUAUUAUAAACACUUUAUUGCAAUUACUCCCAGAAUAUUUUUACUAUUUUAACAAUUCUAUAUUAUUUACAGCAAAUUUAUCAGAACAUCAAAAAAGCAUCCAUAGCAUGCUAAAACAACCAACAUUUUGGACAAGACACAAAAGCAAUAUUUUAAAGAAAAAAGAGCAAAAUUUGCAAAAUAUUUGGCAAAAAAUUAAUAACAAUGAAGAUUUAGAUAUUCUAUUAAUCCUACAUGAAUUGUCAGAAUGGAUAGGAAAAGAAAUAAAUUGAUAAAAAUGU